UACGGAGGGGGCUAGCGUUGUUCGGAAUUACUGGGCGUAAAGCGUACGUAGGCGGCUUUGUAAGUUAGAGGUGAAAGCCCGGGGCUCAACUCCGGAAUUGCCUUUAAGACUGCAUCGCUUGAAUCAUGGAGAGGUGAGUGGAAUUCCGAGUGUAGAGGUGAAAUUCGUAGAUAUUCGGAAGAACACCAGUGGCGAAGGCGGCCAACUGGUCCGGCACUGACGCUGAGGUGCGAAAGCGUGGGGAGCAAACAGG
rnacentral:rRNA from 1 species